GAUGAACGCUAGCGGCAGGCCUAAUACAUGCAAGUCGAACGGUGUCUUCGGACAUAGUGGCGCACGGGUGCGUAACACGUAUGCAACCUACCUUACAUUGGGGGAUAGCCUUUCGAAAGGGAGAUUAAUACCGCCUAAGACAGUAGCUGGGCAUCCAGCAGCUGUCACAGAUUUAUCGAUGUAAGCUGGGCAUGCGUCCAAUUAGCUAGUUGGUGAGGUAACGGCUCACCAAGGCAAUGAUUGGUAGGGGAACUGAGAGGUCAAUCCCCCACACUGGCACUGAGAUACGGGCCAGACUCCUACGGGAGGCAGCAGUAGGGAAUAUUGGGCAAUGGACGCAAGUCUGACCCAGCCAUGCCGCGUGCAGGAUGAAGGCGUUAUGCGUUGUAAACUGCUUUUAUACAGGAAGAAACGACUCUUGCGAGAGGCAUUGACGGUACUGUAUGAAUAAGCACCGGCUAACUCCGUGCCAGCCGCCGCUGUAAAAC
rnacentral:rRNA from 1 species